rnacentral:rRNA from 1 species
GUUAUAUGGUCAAGCGAAUAAGCGCACACGGUGGAUGCCUAGGCGGUCAGAGGCGAUGAAGGACGUGGUAGCCUGCGAAAAGUGUCGGGGAGUUGGCAACAAGCUUUGAUCCGGCAAUAUCCGAAUGGGGAAACCCACUGCUUCGGCAGUAUCCUGCAGUGAAUUCAUAGCUGCUGGAAGCGAACCCGGUGAACUGAAAUAUCUAAGUAACCGGAGGAAAAGAAAUCAACCGAGAUUCCCUAAGUAGUGACGAGCGAACGGGGAGCAGCCCUUAAGCUGGAAUGGCUUUAGAAAAACAAUCUGGAAAGAUUGGCCAUAGAAGGUGAUAGCCCUGUAUUUAAAAGGGCCACUCCAGUGAAGACGAGUAGGGCGGGGCACGUGAAACCCUGUCUGAAUAUGGGGGGACCAUCCUCCAAGGCUAAAUACUCCUGACCGACCGAUAGUGAACCAGUACCGUGAGGGAAAGGCGAAAAGAACCCCGGAGAGGGGAGUGAAAUAGAUCCUGAAACCGUGUGCGUACAAGCAGUAGGAGCUCGCAAGAGUGACUGCGUACCUUUUGUAUAAUGGGUCAGCGACUUACUGUUCGUGGCAAGCUUAACCGUAUAGGGGAGGCGAAGGGAAACCGAGUCUGAUAAGGGCGCAUAGUCGCGGGCAGUAGACCCGAAACCGGGUGAUCUAGUCAUGGCCAGGGUGAAGGUGCCGUAACAGGUACUGGAGGCCCGAACCCACGUCUGUUGCAAAAGACGGGGAUGAGCUGUGAUUAGGAGUGAAAAGCUAAUCGAACCCGGAGAUAGCUGGUUCUCCUCGAAAGCUAUUUAGGUAGCGCCUCAUAUGUAUCCUCUCGGGGGUAGAGCACUGUUAUGGCUAGGGGGUCAUCGCGACUUACCAAACCAUUGCAAACUCCGAAUACCGAGACGGACUGUAUGGGAGACACACGGCGGGUGCUAACGUCCGUCGUGAAAAGGGAAACAACCCAGACCCACAGCUAAGGUCCCAAAUUCACUGCUAAGUGGAAAACGAUGUGGAAAGGCAUAGACAGCCAGGAGGUUGGCUUAGAAGCAGCCACCCUUUAAAGAAAGCGUAAUAGCUCACUGGUCGAGUCGGUCUGCGCGGAAGAUUUAACGGGGCUAAGCAGUGAACCGAAGCUUGGGGUGCAUAAAACUUGUUUUAUGCGCGGUAGAGGAGCGUUCCGUAAGCCUGCGAAGGUGGAUUGAGAAGUCUGCUGGAGGUAUCGGAAGUGCGAAUGCUGACAUGAGUAACGAUAAUGCGGGUGAAAAGCCCGCACGCCGAAAGCCCAAGGUUUCCUUGCGCAACGUUAAUCGACGCAGGGUUAGUCGGUCCCUAAGGCGAGGGCGAAAGCCGUAGUCGAUGGGAAGCAGGUUAAUAUUCCUGCACCUCGCGUGAGUGCGAUGGAGGGACGGAGAAGGUUAGGUGUACCGGGCGUUGGUUGUCCCGGGGAAAGGCGGUAGGUUUGGAUCUUUGGCAAAUCCGGGAUCCUUUAAGACCGAGCACCGAGACGAGCCUUUAUGGCGAAGUCACUGAUACCACGCUUCCAGGAAAAGCUCCUAAGCUUCAGCUCACGAAGACCGUACCGUAAACCGACACAGGUGGGUAGGAUGAGAAUUCUCAGGCGCUUGAGAGAACUCGGGUGAAGGAACUAGGCAACAUGGCACCGUAACUUCGGGAGAAGGUGCACCCUUUUUGGUGGCUCGUGCGAGCUAUAGCUGAAGAGGGUCGCAGAAACCAGGCCGCUGCGACUGUUUAUCAAAAACACAGCACUCUGCAAACACGAAAGUGGACGUAUAGGGUGUGACGCCUGCCCGGUGCUGGAAGGUUAAUUGAUGGGGUCAGCCGCAAGGCG